rnacentral:lncRNA from 1 species
AUCUUUUUCCACAUGCAAGGACAAAGUUAACGUGGAAUUCAGUCCUUAGGUUUCCCCUCACUCCAUCCAUCCCUUCAUCUCUCCAUCCCUCCAGAUUCAUCAUGAUGGCUGAACCAGUGAAAUCAAGGCCAUACAAACGCUUCACACCGCGUGGCCGCUGCCACUCUAACCUGGUGGUCCCAGCGCGCACGACCCACGUGGAGUUCCAGGACUCCGGCAGCCUCUGGAACUGCCGGUCUGCAGCCAACAAGGCUGAGUUCAUCUCAGCCUAUGCUACCCUCCAGUCCCUAGACUUCCUGGCGCUGACGGAAACAUGGAUUACCACAGAUAACACUGCUACUCCUACUGCUCUCUCUUCGUCUGCCCACGUGUUCUCGCAUACCCCUAGAGCAUCGAGCCAGCGGUGUGGUGGCACUGGAAUCUUCAUCUCUCCCAAGUGGACAUUCUCUCUUUCUCCCCUGACCCAUCUGUCUAUCUCCUCAUUUGAAUUCCAUGCUGUCACAGUUACCAG